ensembl:lncRNA
UUUUUUGUAUAAUGUAUGCAAUAAUCCAUUGCCCACCUUGGGUCCCCACCCAAUCUUCUACCCACUCCAGAUUAUUUGCUUGGUGCAGGGAGAGGAGGGGGGAAGAAAAAGCCUUGAUGCCGUGCCAGCACAGCAAUCGCUGAAAGACUGCUGUGUUAUCAACACUAUUUUUUUUUUAACCACAAAUCCAAAACACAGCACUGUACAGGCUGCUGUGAGCAAAGUUAACUCAAUCCCAGUCUAUGUCCCAUGCUGGAGCAAGCAAUUAUUUUAUUACAUGGUAGGAUAUGUUACCACAUCUUCCACAGAUAGGGGUUUUCCUAGGUUGGCAAAUUAAGGUGAUGGAUUUGAAGAAUUUCUAAGGUUGUUGUUGAGGACUGGCCAGAACAGUUAUGCCAAAGCACUUCAAGCAUCUGUCUGAAUUGUAAAUUUCAGCUCUGCUCAUGCUCCUUCUCUGCUUCUGUUCUGGAGCUGCUCUCCCAAAGAGCUAUGGUAACAUAUAAUUGAAAACAAACAGUGGAGCAUAAUUCAAUAGAGAAAUUCUCAGGCUGAAUGUGUAACAUAUUCUGAAUCUUACAAAACCAAACAGUGCAGCUCAAAUUUCAGGCAGUUUGUGGAAAAUUGCUUAUGAAUGAUCAAGCACUACAAUGACAGAAAUGAUUAUGCUAAAAUUAGAAUAAAGACUGAUAAAAAUGGCAAGGAAAUCCCCACUAAUUUGAAAAUGGAGAAAAAACUGCACUUGUCACGUCAGAACAUGCUGUCCUUUGGAGCAUGACUUUCACAUUCCUUGUUGCUGAUUAUUAUGGGAAAACUUCUAAUCACUUAGGACAGAUCUGAACUAGCUAUAGCAUCACAGUAUCACUGAAAUACUCAUAUGUAGUAGUCAUAACAAGGCACAUGGAGAAUGUAAGUACAUGGUAGAAACUGAAACAGGAGGAACCUCGAGGUAUCCUGCUGUUCAAGCUGGGCACAAACAGUACUCCUUGACGUGCCUCCUCCAGAGGUUUUCCAUCCAUAGGUGGUGGAAAACUGGCCUAUUAUUUAAGCAUCUGUAGAUGGGAAGCACUGGGAUGCAGGGAAGAAAGCUCUCCAGGCUGUAGCUGCAUCUUUAGCUUUUCUUGUGCUGCCAUCCUGGACACAGAGUCUAAACCUGUUGCAGACUGGAAUCCAAAACUGAACUAACUUGUUAAUCUUUCACCCUUCAAAAAAAGAUAGCAACUUGCCUUUCUUGGUCUGGAAAAGAGAGGAUUCUUUCUAUUAUUUUUAUUUUGUUUAGGUUUCCCAUAUCACUGUUGAAAUCUUCUUGCAAAGGGAUUUUCCUAGUAAAUGGAGUAAGCAUAUGGCUGACUUACCUCCAGACAGAUCCACACUUGGAUUCUCUUCCAUUUUCUUUCUUUCCUGGAGCUCUGGCUUCUGCACCGUUUGGUUUCACUUUCUCCAUUGGUCAUAAGGAGACGUAUCUCCCCGCUGUUUGAGUGGCUGACCAAAUCCUACCCUCCUCACAAACACCAUCCUGUCUAGGUCUCAGGAGUUGCUAUUAAAUGCCCAUAAACCUGAUAACCAGAAACAUAGGAGCAGUGAUUCAUGGUGAAGAAGGAGGCUACUCCCUCCACGAUUACCAAGGUGGUGUGAAAAUGGAUGGAUACUGCUGAUAAACACGAACCUUUAGCCCAAGAGCUAUUAGCUGUUUUGCCUCCCAGCAGGCUGCUGUCCUGGGGCAAGCCAGUGGAGAAAGGCACCGGUUUCUCAUCCGUGUGGACUCGGAUGGACUCAUGUGCUCGGAGAUGGCAGGCCUGGAGCCCGGGGCUUGGCAGGCUGCCGCAUGUGCUUUUGGACACAUGGUAUCCCACGGCCAGGUUGACACAGAGCAGUGAGCCUGCUGCACCUUACCUUCCUGCCUCUGGCAUGCCAGAAUAGGAGACAGUGGUGCUGGAAGGUGAAGCCGCUGGCAGAAACACUGCCUGGCCUAUGCGCAGCAGUGUUACCCCCCCACACCCGGCCUCAGCAGUGCCCUAGCUGGGUGCUGUGAACAUGGACUCUCAGCCUGACUCUCCUACAUCCCCCAGAAAUAUUUCCCCCUCUGCUAAAGCACUUUGGGACCGGAUGGCCAUGCCGGCCUGCUAGUGCAACCUCAGAAAGUGGAUGGCUUUCGCAAGAGCAAUGCCUGCCUGUGGAAAACUAGGCAGCAUGGAAAACUCCUGAGAAACUUUCCCCACUGGGAGUGGUUUGUGCGGAUUUCCAUACAGAAAUCUCAAGCCCAGCCUUCUCAGCGGCCGUUCUAGUAUAGGGGGGCACCUUCUCCCAGCCGCACUGUCUCUGCAAAUGAGUUUUCUUGCUAAACACCAGAUUUGGGAGGUGGGGUGGGAGGGUGUAAAACUGCUGCUCCUUCCCGCCCGGCUCUCGUCCCUCCCUUCCCUGUGCUGCUCCCUCUGGCAGAAGGAGGAAGUCAGAGGAACAAAGUGGUUUGCAGAGUCAGAUGCUUACCCGGGCAGGUUCGGAGCUGCUCAGGGCGGCGAAGUGAAGCGGAGAGGCGGCAGGAAGAGGCCAGCCCUGGCCCCGCCGCUUGCCCUUCCCAGAGGCCCUUCGGCUCCCCUGGUGGCCGGAC